GGGCCAGUGGCGCAACCGCCUGACUACGGAUCAGGAGAUUCCGGGUUCGAAUCCUGGCUGGCUCG